rnacentral:sRNA from 1 species
ACAAAAUCCUAUUUUUUCGCACUUUUGGAUAGUUGAUCGCUAAAAUCUCAUCGAAAUCCCAUUGAUAGCUACUGCAUAAUCAUCGUAAACAGCCCUUUUCUUGUGCGUAGAGUACAAUCAGACCCUAUCCCCCGCCAGUUUCUUUUCACCCCAUUCCUUUUCUUCAGGGUUCCGGAAUGUAGCACCUGCAAACUUCUUGGCGUAGCCAUUAACCUUACAUCGACUCACUACUUCAGCAUGUCUUGGGUAAUGGGCAUCAUCACGAGUAAUAAUUCACUGACCUGUUCUUUAAACGAGAGUUUCUCCGAGUGGUCGGACAUGUUCCCACCUCCAGGAGCGGUUGCAGCUUUUAAAGUUCACUUCCUGCGAAGAGUCUGCAGCUUCUCUAGGUGCUGCUGGUAGUCCAGUACCUGCAGCCACUAUGGAUGGAGGGGGCACAGCAUUCGGAUUGUUAGGGUCGACAAUUUGGGCCACCGCCGGCUGGUCAACGGAUAGGGAUCUUGAUCUAUUAAAUACAGUGGAGAUUCACUCAAUUCUACGUAUCAGUAGUUUGGUGGGCUGUAUAUAGUCGAUCGCGUUUGGUACAAAUACACCCAAUCUACGCACUACGUACGUCUUCAGAGUCAAUCCGUCGGCAUCAUUGUUGGUGGGGGUGUAGGGAGCAUGACGUCAUAUUAGAGACCACUUUUGUAUGAUGGUGUACACAUAACUUUGUAUUUAAGGAAUACGUUUUAAC